ACGUAGGGGGCGAGCGUUGUCCGGAUUUAUUGGGCGUAAAGAGCUCGUAGGCGGCUCGGUAAGUCGGGUGUGAAACCUCCAGGCUCAACCUGGAGACGCCACCCGAUACUGCCGUGGCUAGAGUCCGGUAGAGGAGCGUAGAAUUCCUGGUGUAGCGGUGAAGUGCGCAGAUAUCAGGAGGAAUACCAGCGGCGAAGGCGGCACUCUGGGCCGGUACUGACGUUGAGGAGCGAAAGCGUGGGGAGCAAACAGGA
rnacentral:rRNA from 1 species